GAAAGACAGGAAAUUCUUGGCUCUGGGAUCUGGUAAUAAGGGAGCCUGCCACUUUCAAAUUACCUGCUGGAAUCCAGCUCAAGACAAUUAUAGAUGAAAAAUCUUCCUGAUCUUCAGCCACCUACCCAAAAUUGAUGUUGGUUUUACACUUCCUAAAGUUGGAGCAAUGAUUUUCAUGACUUAGGGAGUGGCAGAACCAUCAUUAUCCUAACAGCCAGGAUCCGAUUCUUCUUGAAGAACCGUCCGUCCUGUUGGGGAACUGCUUUGAUAAGCUCUUGGGGUUGGAAGAUGACACUUUCAGAGCACCCUUGUCAGCAGAAGCCAAGGAAACUGACAGCUAAACUUCUCUGCCACCUGCAUAAGAGGAAUUGCUGGGGAGUGGAAGGGGGACAUGGAAAGGAAAAGGAGAAGGUAACCACAGAGAACCCAGAUAGGAGAGAAAGAAAUUAGCCAACCCAGUAUGGCAAGACUGAGGCAUCUCACUGAACAAGACCACAGAACUUCCUCCAAAGACAGGUGCGUGGAGGAUCUUACCCAGUCUGCUUUCCCAGGCUGCUGCUUACCACAUCAAAUAGAAAACGCCAUGUGUCUGGAAGAAACCUCACCUCACAGGCAGCUUUCUUCUUGAUGUGAACCCUGUACACACUCUAGAGUCUCCUAACACAGUGCUUUCCUCUGCUAUGGGUCCACAUUGGAUCCAUGUCCAUGAACAAAGGUCAAGAGGACAUCCUGGCCUUUCUCCAAGGUCCACCAUGGCAUGCAGGGCUCAGUCUCCAGACGAAUCACCCGUGGGGCAUUUCUGAAAGUAUCCAUCUGCCCUGUAUCCUCCUUGCUUUGCUUCAUUUUGGAAAAAUCUGAAUUAAAUAUAAAAGAAAUUAUUCAAUGUUUCCAACUUUUUUAGGGGCUCCUUUCCAUAAUUUGCAAUGGGGAUGUCUGCUUCCUGAUUUAUUUUUUUUUUGCAGUUAUUGCUAAAGAGAGUUGAGGUGGAAGUGGUGUGUUAUACAAAUGAUCACAGCCAUUCUUACCUGAAGGUCAUAAUACAAUUUUUUUAUUAAUUUAUUUAUUUGUUUGUUUUUGGCUGCACUGGGUCUUUGUUGCUGC
rnacentral:lncRNA from 1 species